UCAAAUAGCCCAUAAGACCACCCACUAUACAAUUAAACCACAAUCAGAAGAGAUCUACAUAAUUGGGAGAAUUAUAGCUACUAAUACAAUUGUGUUGCAUCAAUAACAAAUAAAUGAGAAACUUUAGAAAAUGAAAACAAUAGUCUACAACUAUGCUACAAAGAGUAAUUUUUGUUUGUUCUUAAUCAAUUUUCAGCCAAAACAACCACCAACUUAUUGAUGCCAUGCUGAUGUAAGAAGAGUUUAAAAUGUCAAUUUAUAGACUUUUUGAAGGUGUUGACGAACCCAUAUCAUAAAAACUGAGUAGCAAACAAAAGCUGCGUCAACCAAACAGAGAUAUUGACCUAAGUUUAGAAAUUAAAAUUAACCUUCACUUUCACUUGGGUCAUUAAUCGAACAACUGUUUAGCAUUUUCAAGCUUGUUGAAGGUAUUAGAGAAACGCCUAAAGCCACAUACUUCAACUGCUAACACCAACUUAUAGUAACAUACCAUCAUAUCUUACACUUCAUCUUAUCAAUUGAACAUUGAAAUUCGAAAGAAUCAACAGGAGAGAUUAAAUAUUUUCGUUUCAAAGGUCAGAUUUUUAAUUAAAAGGCUGUUUGGGAUUGAGACAGAAACUGCUUUUUUGGAAAAUUAAAAUCAAAUUUUAAAGAUCUCUAUAAGAAAUGGUAAGAGAGAUUACUUCCAACAAGGGCAGCAUAACCAA
rnacentral:misc_RNA from 1 species